CCUGACGAACUCCGAAUGCUAUAACACAUGUCCGGGAGUGAGGCGCGGGGUGCUAAGGUCACGCGCCGAAAGGGAAACAACCCAGAUUAUCAGCUAAGGCCUCUAAAUCUACAUUAAGUUGUUUAAACGAUGUUUGGUUGCUAUGACAGCUAGGAUGUUUGCUUGGAAGCAGCAAUUCAUUUAAAGAGUGCGUAACAGCUCACUAGUCGAGUGACCGAGCGCGGAAAAUAAUCGGGCAUCAAAUGUAGUGCCGAAGCUAUAGGAUCCCACAAGAGUGGAGAUCGGUAGGGGAGCAUUCUGACCUGCGUCGAAGGCGAUUCGUAAGGAUCUCUGGAGCGGUCAGAAAAGAAAAUGUAGGCAUAAGUAACGAUAAAUAAAAUGAAAAAUUUUAUCGCCGUAAGUCUAAGGUUUCCUGAUCAACGCUAAUCGGAUCAGGGUUAGUCGGGUCCUAAGGUGUAACCCGAGAGGGGCAACCGAUGGAAAACUGGUUAAUAUUCCAGUACCUGCUUAUAUUGCGAUGGGGUGACGAAGGUGUGAAAGUACCGCGGGGUUACGGAAUAUCCCGUUAAAGCGUGUAGAUGUAGAUGGAGUAGGCAAAUCCGCUCUUGAAUCGAACGUGAUAGUACUCAAGGUUUUCGAACUGAGAGAUAGUGUACCUAAUCAGACUUCCUAGAAAAACCUCUAAGCUUCAGGUAUAAGCAGCCCGUACCGUAAACCGACACAGGUAGACGAGGAGAGUAUCCUCAGGCGCUCGAGUGAGUCACGGCUAAGGAACUCGGCAAAAUGGACCCGUAACUUCGGGAGAAGGGUCGCCCCAGCAAUGGGGCCGCAGUGAAAAGUAUCAGGCGACUGUUUAACAAAAACACAGGGCUCUGCAAAAUCGAAAGAUGAAGUAUAGGGCCUGACACCUGCCCGGUGCUGGAAGGUUAAGGAAGGUUGUUAGCCGCAAGGCAAAGCUUCCGACUGAAGCCCCAGUAAACGGCGGCCGUAACUAUAACGGUCCUAAGGUAGCGAAAUUCCUUGUCGGGUAAGUUCCGACCUGCACGAAUGGUGUAACGAUCUGAUAACUGUCUCAGCCGUGAGCUCGGUGAAAUUGUAGUCCCGGUGAAGAUGCCGGGUACCCGUAACGGGACGGAAAGACCCCGUGAACCUUCACUACAACUUUGCAUUGACUUUGAGUAAACGAUGUGUAGGAUAGGUGGGAGACUAUGAAGCGGGCACGCUAGUGUUCGUGGAGUCAACGUUGAAAUACCACCCU
rnacentral:rRNA from 1 species